GUGGGGAAUAUUGGACAAUGGGGGGAACCCUGAUCCAGCCAUGCCGCGUGUGUGAAGAAGGCCUUUUGGUUGUAAAGCACUUUAAGCGAGGAGGAGGCUACCGAGAUUAAUACUCUUGGAUAGUGGACGUUACUCGCAGAAUAAGCACCGGCUAACUCUGUGCCAGCAGCCGCGGUAAUACAGAGGGUGCAAGCGUUAAUCGGAUUUACUGGGCGUAAAGCGCGCGUAGGUGGCCAAUUAAGUCAAAUGUGAAAUCCCCGAGCUUAACUUGGGAAAUGCAAUCGAUACUGGUUGGCUAGAGUAUGGGAGAGGAUGGUAGAAUUCCAGGUGUAGCGGUGAAAUGCGUAGAGAUCUGGAGGAAUACCGAUGGCGAAGGCAGCCAUCUGGCCUAAUACUGACACUGAGGUGCGAAAGCAUGGGGAGCAAACAGGAUUAGAAACCCCGGUAGUCC
rnacentral:rRNA from 1 species